GCGCUCUCAAGGGCAGACCCCCUCUUGCCGUGUUCAGAUCAGGGCCCCCAGGGCCGCAGGGAGCCGACCCACGCUGCCCGCUGCGCCAGGGAUCUGCACCCCAAGCCUUGGCCUCCGGGUCCCCUAAACAGAAGCCAGCAGCAUCUCUCCCCGGACACGGCUCAGCCCCCGGGACGCUCACUGCAUGUGCCCUCUGUCUCUUUGUUCAUCUCUGUCUCUCUCUCUGUCUCUCUGUCUCUGUAUCUCUCUGUCUCUCUCUCUGUCUCUAUCUCUCUAGGGGGAUGUGACCCUGGGUUAUCUCUGUGGUCUGGUGCAGUCACAGGGGUCCAUUCGGGCAGUGGCGGAACAGGAGGCAGAUCUAGGAGACACUGGGCCGUGAGCCGUGGGCUGGGAGGGGUGUCCAGAAGCUGGGUGGGAGCCCCGGGGUCCAGCCAUCACACCCGGAGCGGAGCCCAUGAGCCCUGUUUCCUGUGGCCUCCGGAGCCGCGGGGCAGGAGACGUGCUGUCUCACAGCAGCCCCGGGCGCUCACCACUGGUCGCCAGGAGCUGGCCCUACAGCCCAUCUGGAUGGGGCCAGGUGGGCAGGGAGGCCCGGGACAGCCCUGCAUGCCCUCGUCCCUCGGGAGCCACCCCAGUCCAGCCUCGGGGCCCCUCCUGCCAGGCCAGCCCAGGGCUCAGUGGGCUCCCGGGGUCAGGGUCUCCAUCUCCAGGGCCGCCUGGCCCCACGCCCAGCUGACCCCUGGGGUCUGUCUGCCCACGGCGGUCCUCACGUUGCCCUGGCGUGUCACACGCGCAUCCAUUCUGGGUCCAAAGUGCUCUGCAGUUGCCACCGGUGGGCAGGGAGCUGCCCUGCGGGGCUGCCCUCCAGGGGUCAGAGGCCCACACCGCCCAGCCUGGCCAACCUCCGACCCCAGCUUGCCCCUUCUCGCGGGACUCAGAGGAGCCCACAGCUGCCAGGGGGCGUCCCACAGGGCUGCGGGGAGGGCAGAGCCGCACUGCGACGCAGUCCAGGCCCCCUGUCCACCCUGUGCUCUGGGCUCCAGCUGGCACAGGGGUGGGGGCAGCCCCAGGAGACCCGGGGGGCAAUGGAUUCACUCAGCCAACCCAGCUGACAGCCCAGCAUCUGCCAUCUGA
rnacentral:lncRNA from 1 species